CCUUGUAAUUUAGUUUGUUUAUUGCAUCUCACUUUACCUUCGAUACACAUAUUGCCAACUUGCAGUAGAACAAGUGGUAAAUUGUUGCACAACAUUUAACAUUCAAGUCACCUUUAUUUAUACAAUACAGAAUACUUCAAAGCAGCUUCAUAGUGAUAAGAGGAAAAUGAUUCAGUGAGUUCAUUUCGGCUACAAAAGAAAGUAGUGUCAUUGUUGAUUAAGUUCUGUUGUAACGGUCAUCAAUUAUUAAUUAAAUUAAUAAUUAAUUUAAUCUAUAAAGCAGUUCUGCAGAAAACAGUGAUGUCAUCAUCCAGCUCAGUUCAGUUCUCAUCCAAUAGUGUCAAUGCAGUCAAAUCAAUAAUACUGUUGAAUAAUAUAUAAUAUUUACAUUAUCAUUUAUACUAUAGCCACUUUUAUGUCCCAGUGUAAUGCGGCUGCUGCAGACAAGAAGUGUUGGAUCCAAAUAAAGUAGAAAUUUAUUGAAACAGUGCAACUGAAAUAACUUUAGACAAGGAACCUGAUAAACCCAGGCACAUGAACAUGACGCUACAACAAACAUACAUGAUACAACCAUAUAUCGGGAACACUAGACAAAGUACAUGAAAAACACUGGGGUAUUUAUAUACAAGGGGUUAUUGGCAAACAAGACACACCUGGGAACAAUCAGGAACUAAUCAAUAAGAAAAACUACGAAGGACUACAAAACAUGAUCAGAAACAGAGAGCCAGAGUGGUGCCGGCAGAGCAGGUGGCCAGGGCGGCGACAUUGGAGAACACCAUGGUGGAGCAGAUGACCACCACAGCUGGGCAGACAGGGCUAAAGAUCCCCACGCCGGAGCAGAAGACCACCACAGCUGAGUAGACAGGCUUGAAGACCCCCAUGGCAGAUCUGGUGGAACCGGAGACCACCACAGCUGAUUAGCACAAUAACUGCAGCAAUGUCAGGACCUGGUGGCUGGAGCCCAGUGAAGUCUGUCACUCCAGAGAUGAAUGAAUUCUGCCUUGAUGUGAAGUCAGACAUAGAGAAGAUGGCUAGAACCCAUUAUGGUGUUUACACUCCUGUAAGCUUCGCUUAUCAGAUUACGAAUGAACCGAACAUAAACUAUUUGGUCAAGGUGGACGUCAGAGAUGUGUGAGUUCAUGCGAUGAUAUCUGUAGAUCCCCCCGUCUAUAAAGUGAAACUGACUGUGCUUAGAGUCCUGUACCCUAAAGCCUCCAGUGAGCCUCUGGUCCCCUUCUGAACACGUCUAACCACAUGCAGAAAAUAGUCUGUCUAAUCUAAUAACAGACACAAUGAGCUGCCAUAGAGGAACUAUUGAAAACUGUAUGAUUCCUCAAUAUUAAACUCUAUAUUCAAACCCUCA